CUACGGGAGGCUCCAGUGAGGAAUAUUGCACAAUGGGGGGAACCCUGAUGCAGCAACGCCGCGUGGAGGAUGACGCACUUCGGUGUGUAAACUCCUUUUAUAUGUCAAGAAAAUGACGGUAGCAUAUGAAUAAGCACCGGCUAACUCCGUGCCAGCAGCCGCGGUAAUACGGAGGGUGCAAGCGUUACUCGGAAUCACUGGGCGUAAAGGACGCGUAGGCGGGUUGGAAAGUCAGGUGUGAAAUCCUACAGCUUAACUGUAGAACUGCACUUGAAACUUCUAAGCUAGAGUAUGGGUGGGGGAGAUGGAAUUAGUGGUGUAGGGGUAAAAUCCGUAGAUAUCACUAGGAAUACCUAAAGCGAAGGCGAUCUCCUGGAACAUUACUGACGCUAAGGCGUGAAAGCGUGGGGAGCAGACAGGAUUAGAUACCCCGGUAGUC
rnacentral:rRNA from 1 species